GAGCCGUCCAGCAGAUGCGCUCGAGAGGUAAGGACCUGAAAGACGGAGAGUUGCCAUUUUUUGCUGCUGGAAUAAGUUCAGUCGUCCAUCCAAAGAAUCCCAACGUUCGACGAUACAUUUC